UGGUUAUCUCUCUGUGUCGCCCUAUGAGGCUCCAGCUCUCCACAACCCUUAGUCAGAGAGCCGUGUCUCUCUACAGUCAGAGGUUUUUGUACGACGCCUCAAUCAGUUUGUAUCACUGUGGUGGACUUUUGGUGGAGGAACCAGACUGCAUGUUGGAAGUAAGUUCAAUUAAAGCAGUUUUUUUUUUUUGUAUUAUAUUUCGUUUUCUUGGCACGUCGUUUUUAUUCAUGUAAAAUAAACUUCUUUUCAUCUUAA